UGGAGGGGGAUAACUACUGGAAACGGUGGCUAAUACCGCAUAACGUCGCAAGACCAAAGAGGGGGACCUUCGGGCCUCUUGCCAUCAGAUGUGCCCAGAUGGGAUUAGCUUGUUGGUGAGGUAACGGCUCACCAAGGCGACGAUCCCUAGCUGGUCUGAGAGGAUGACCAGCCACACUGGAACUGAGACACGGUCCAGACUCCUACGGGAGGCAGCAGUGGGGAAUAUUGCACAAUGGGCGCAAGCCUGAUGCAGCCAUGCCGCGUGUAUGAAGAAGGCCAUCGGGUUGUAAAGUACUUUCAGCGGGGAGGAAGGUGUUGUGGUUAAUAACCGCAGCAAUUGACGUUACCCGCAGAAGAAGCACCGGCUAACUCCGUGCCAGCAGCCGCGGUAAUUCGGAGGGUG
rnacentral:rRNA from 1 species